rnacentral:rRNA from 1 species
ACAAGCGGUGGAUGAUGUGAUUAAUUCGAUGCAACGCGAAAACCUUACCUACCCUUGACAUGUCCGGAAUCCUGCAGAGAUGCGGGAGUGCCCGAAAGGGAAUCGGAACACAGGUGCUGCAUGGCUGUCGUCAGCUCGUGUCGUGAGAUGUUGGGUUAAGUCCCGCAACGAGCGCAACCCUUAUCAUUAGUUGCUACGCAAGGGCACUCUAAUGAGACUGCCGGUGACAAACCGGAGGAAGGUGGGGAUGACGUCAAGUCCUCAUGGCCCUUAUGGGUAGGGCUUCACACGUCAUACAAUGGUCGGUACAGAGGGUUGCCAAGCCGCGAGGCGGAGCCAAUCCCACAAAGCCGAUCGUAGUCCGGAUUGUUCUCUGCAACUCGAGAGCAUGAAGUCGGAAUCGCUAGUAAUCGUGGAUCAGCAUGUCACGGUGAAUACGUUCCCGGGUCUU